ACAAAUAUACAUUAGAUAUACUUCGUAAUGCUAUCGUCUCUUCGCAAAUGAACGAAUGAAUCUACGCGCGGAAUUACGACUGCUGUAUGCGAAAGCUAACAUUAAAGCUUACUGUUAUUCAAAUCAAAAGCUUUACAUUUGAUAAGAUCACAGAUAUUUUGAAACAAUGGCAGAUACUUUUCACUCUAAACAAAAGUUAAUAAUAAAAAAUAAAUAUUUCUUUAUAUAUUAUUUAUUAUCAUAUAUAAUAAUAAAUAAAUCCAUUCGUUCCUUAUUUAUAUCAAUCAUUUUUAAAGUAAACUUUUAAACUAAAAUCUUUUGUUUUAUAUUUUAGACAACAAAACACUAAAGGACAAAGAUACAGUUACAGAUACAGAUAGAGAUAGAUAUUGUAUAUCUAUAUUAGGAAAAAAAUAACUGAAUCAAAAUAAAUCAAAUAGGCAAGGUGACCAAACUUUCUAAUUGUUGCGCAACAGUGUUGAAUAAUGUUAACUGAUCAAACAAACCAAUGAUCAGCUGUUGCUCUACAUUAACUGUUUUGUAGGCAUUUGCUGUUCGCAUUCCUGCUCCGCUUGCAACCUGUUGUCAUUUCUUAAAUUAACAUAGGAGACUUGCAUUUCUGUAUACAUUGGCUCCACUUACAUAUGGACAUACUCAUAUACAUACAUACAUCCAUAUUAGUGGAUUAGUGGAUUCUUUAAAUAUACAGAUACAUAAAUAUGUAUGUGCAUGAUUCAUAUCGAGUAUAUUAUGCCAUCAACGUUAUCAUUAUCAGCCUUGUUGUAUUGUAUGUAUGUAUGUAGUUGUCAUCAUACUCGAUUUGUUAUACAAAUGUCUGUAUGUCUGUAGAUGUUUGUAUGUACAUAGGAUACACAAUCAAGUAUAUACUUUUCCUUUUUUAAUGUGCACCAACAACAAGAACUGACAUGUUCAUGGGAACGAAGCAGGAGCAGUGUCCAAACCGGUUUUACGCUCCACGGCAGGCAUCGAAAGACAGACACAGGCUGCAUAUGGCACACAGCAUACCAUCAUAUAUGUAUGUAUGUAUGUGUGCAUACGUCUGUACAUAUCGGCGCCAAUGUCCAGCAACAACAAACGUGAAUUACAACACAUGCAUUUCAGUCACACAUACAUAUGAAUAACAGUGCCUGAGCCUGGGAUAUGUGCAUACAUAUGUAUGUAUAUCAUUGCAUGCAGGCAGGCAAGUAUGAAUCAAAGGCCACCAUCUUAAACCGGAUAUCAAUAAAAUCGAAAGUUUUAUGUAAACAGACUGAUGCAGCCGAACAAAACAUAAACAAGGCAACAUUUUGUACUGUACAUCAUACUGAUGUAUAAAUGUUGCACGUGAUUACAGAUGAUCGACUGUACAUACAUAUGUAUUUAUGAAAUAUACAUCAGCACAUGAAUACUAAAGGGUCGAGCUCAAAGAUCAAGUCUAGAAAUUACUUAUUACAGCUGCAAACUAAGUGGAUACAUACACACAUAUACAUACAUACAAUCAUGGAUAUAUUAUGCAGCAUAAAGAUAUUUGUAUAUUUGCUGCCUUUAUAGGAACAAACAACGAGCCUAUGCUAAAAACAACCACCGCUGCAAAUGUUGCCAAUCUAAAAAUGUUGCAGCAACAUUUCACGGCGAAUAUACGAGAAAAGGGGAACAGAUAUAU